AGCUGCCAACAACGCUCCAUUCCCAGCCUCAAAAGUCUUGAACCUCACAGCAACCCCCACCAGAAGAAUUCUAAACACAACAAAAAAAUACAGAAAAGCAUCAGCAAAACUAUACUCUAUUAUUCGUUAACAAAUCAGACACGCAAAUGACAUCAACUGGGCAAUUGAGUUUGUUGAAAUUCAACACAAAAAGCCAAUAACAAUGCAAAAUAAUUGCAAUUUAAUUGUGUUCAAUUCAACGGGAAGUGAAUUAUAAAAAGUAUGAAAAAAAACAGCGGAAAAAAAUUGAAAUUACGCAUAUCCCAAAAUUAAUACAAAUUAUACCCAAACCAAAGUCAUUCAAUGUGCAUUCUAUUGUGUGUGGAAAUGAAGAACGGAAGAAAGAGCGAGAGAGCAAAAAGGAUUGGGAAUGCAAAUUUUAAUCUUACAACUAUUUUGAAUACGUGCCCCCCAAAACAAGUGAGUUCCCACUUACAUAAAGAAACAACGCUAAAAAUAUGGCAAAAAAAAAACCAAUAAGGGAAAGCAAUCAGUGGAAAUUACAAAUUUAAAACCAAAAUCAAAAUUGCAUCACUUAAUUUAAACGGAAAAAAGUUCAAAAUCAGCUGAUUAAAAUAAGGGGUGCGCUUGCUGCUCCAACUCCGUCAGCAAGGGAAAUUUAAUUAGCGACACUUCAGUUCAGUUCAGCUGAGCGGCUAAAAACAGCCCCGCCCCCUCUGGAACGAAGGGGGUAAGAAAUGGGCGGAAGGCGAAAUUUCGUUGAUUUCUGCAUGACGACAGCAAAAAGCGAAAAGGCGAAAGGAAACGAGAAACAACAACAACAAUAGUCGGAGUGCAGCGCACACACACACAAACGCCCACACAUUGCACUGCUGCUGCUGCAUAGGAGUGAACGAGAAGGCGAACAUGGCGCGGACAUGCGCUCUCGCUCUUGAACUUGAAAACCGGCAAACGAACGAGAGAGGAGAGCGAGAAAGAGCGACAUCUAAAAGAGAGCUGAGCACAUCAGCGCCCUGUUCACCACCACCACCCCCGCCGACCGCAUACAAGAGCUUUUUCCCGCGGCCACGCUACAUAGCAUAAAUAGCAGCAUAGAAAAUCCCCCGACUUCAUGCCGCCACUCGGGACCUGAAGGUGGCGCUCUUUGAACAAAAGCUCAGCGGAUUUGAAGUUUCUACGAAAAUCCGCAAGAUGGUGAGGCUAAUAGUGGUUUCUGCACAAAAUAUUCAAAAAAUAACAGAACAUUCAGUUUUGUCUUAUCAUCAAUCAUCCAGUAACCGCCGAGAGCCCCGAGAAAUAACCAAAUUAGUGUCAGUAGUCAUCACAAUCAAUCAAACAAUCCAAGUAACCUCAAUUGGCUAUGCGCUUUGGCAGUGUGGUUAGCUGGUUGUGUAGCCAAUUAUUGCCGCAGUCAAUCCCACAGCCACUAUCUUCACUGCCGCCGCGACAAGCUAAAGCAACGUUUAAGAAUAUCAAAAGGGGAUUCACCUGGAAACAGCCGAGAAGAGAGGAGCUCGCCAUUCUCAAUACUUCUAUACAUCGGAUUGCUGCAAUACUACCGUAGAUACUUGGAAUAUUUCAACGCUAACCGGACUUCCUGUAAUACUUCCCAAGGGAAUCUAGUAGAACUAACUAAUCCUAAGCUUGUAACUGUAGUUGCUUAUUAAUAUUAACAAUAAUAAGUCAUCCUAAGGUCACACAAAGCAAUAAAUAAAUCAUAAAUAUUUAUGUAGUGGCAAACUCUAUCUUAUAGAUCUUGAUUUGAAAUCCUUUUUUGAGAAAUCGCAUAUGGAAAUAUUCCUGCUCAAUUGAGAAACCUCCAAGAGGGGUGUACAAAGAGAAGAAAAGUUCGAUAUUAUGUAUUCCUCUAAGUAUCAAGUCAAAAAUAUUGUAAACCUUGAUGUAUCCAAAUUUUAAACGGCGUAAAAUACCGCAUUUAACUUGUAAAUAUCGAUUUUAUCGAAAAAAAUUCAUAAUUCCGAUAAUAUCGAAAAAUAAAUCACUUCUGUUAUCGAAAGAAAAAAUUAAUUUACUUAGAAUCUCAACAAUAAUACAUAGCAGAAUAUCAAAAAUUAAAAUGUCAAUUUUUAUACCGCAUAUAACUUUUAAAUAAAGUUAACGAAAAAUAAUUUAAAUACUCCAUUCGAUAUAUUAAUCAGAAUAUCGAUAUAUCGCAUACAUAUCGCAAAUAAAUCGACUUUCACAUCUUAGUAUCGAUACAUCCCUACCAAGCAGCAAAUUGAAAUAAAUUCGAAUCUCGUUCGGUUUUGAUGGUUUGUGUUUGUUUUAUAUAUAUAAAUUUUAAAUUAAUAAAAUUUACUUGCUAUAUUUCUAUUCUUUAUAAGUUCAUUUUUAUAUAAAUAAUAAUUUUAAAUCGCACAUUCUUCUCAUUAAAUUUAUAUAAUAUUAUGUUUCGUUUACGUUUUAUGCAGUUUUUGUUUCGUUUGUUUAUUUAAUUUGAAUUACACAACAUUACUUUUAUUUAGAAUUAUAUCUUUAUCUGUACUGUUAUCGAUCUCCUUCUGUAUUAUUAUAUGUAUGUUAAAAUGUGGUGUUUCUUACAUAUUAUUGACACUGUAUGUACUUCAAAUUAGUGUGAGAAUUGUUCUGUUUGCUUCUCCACCUUCGACUUGCUGUUAUUUGUUCUUAGAUGGUUUUUAUGCUGGCUUUACAUUGUAUUUAUAUAAUCCUUUUGUGGUUGCUGUGAUCUCCGCUUGCUUGAACUAAUUUCAUUUAAUAAACGUCUAGCACGGCUCGAUGAUUGUGUGUCUCAAUGCUCGACGUGUGACACUUGCUUUAAAUAAUUUAAGAGUAUUUAAUAGAGGACUAAGUUAGUAUACGCUCUGUAGGUUUUGGCCAAGUAAAUUAUAUAUUUAUAAAACAAAAUCAAAUU